UGAAACAAGUACCAGCUAUAUUUAUUUCAUCGUUUAAAACACUGUUAAUAAACAACUGUACGUCUAACCAUUCGAUAGGAUCAAACUGUGAAAAUGAUAAUUGUGAUGGCGCUUUUUUGGACAAUUUAAAGAAUUUUUUAUUUGAUGAAGUACCACUAUAGAGAAGAUUAGUAUUCGAAGUCCAACAGAGAACAAUAGGUAUUGAAAUUGAAAUUCCAGGUGUUGAAAUGCCCAGUUCUAAUUCUCAAGUGACUUUUUUAACUUUUGGAAGUAAAGAUAUUUUGUUGGACAGAUGAACAUUUUACAAUACAACUACAGAGAUAGUACGGUGUUGCGUCCUCUUAAAACUAGUAAUUUUUUUGCCAAACCACUACCACGAUUAUGUGUAUUCAGUGGUUUUGGCUGUUUUAAACAUGACGAGAUAGAACAAUAUAGUUAUUUGAUUAAAAAUGCAAAAAAGUGAAAAUAAAUAAAUUUACUUAUAUGUUUGAA